rnacentral:rRNA from 1 species
UACAGAGGUCUCAAGCGUUGUUCGGAUUCAUUGGGCGUAAAGGGUGCGUAGGCGGCGCGGUAAGUCGGGUGUGAAAUCUCGGAGCUUAACUCCGAAACUGCAUUCGAUACUGCCGUGCUUGAGGACUGGAGAGGAGACUGGAAUUUACGGUGUAGAGGUGAAAUUCGUAGAUAUUCGCAAGAACACCAGUGGCGAAGGCGGCUCACUGGCCCGAUACUGACGCUGAGGCACGAAAGCGUGGGGAGCAAACAGG